AAGCUGUUUUCGGAAACGUUAAGCAGGCCAGCGGCAACAAAAAAGGUAACGUGAAAAAAAUGCCAACUGGACUAGUUGUAGCCGAGACUAAUCCGAUGAAUGACCCGAGCCACCUGAGCCAGCCAGUCGGCCCAACCUCACGCGCUCUCUCUCUCACGCAUCCCGGCGAUCCCCCCUUUUCCCCUAUUAUUCCCUUUCCCUGCUAUCACGCUCCUCUCAUGUGUCGGCCGAGUCAUCGCCGAACCCUUUUUAAAAAUCACUAACCCUAAAUUAUUCCCUUUCUAAUAAAAAAACAGCCCUCCUCCUUUCGUUGUUUCAAUGGCCGAUAUCACCGAUUCCGUUACGCCGUUGGCUAUGAUCACCCCUCCUUCAACCACUCCCGGCUCACGUAUACCCGUACGUGAGGAUUGUUGGUCCGAGGAAGCUACGUCCACCCUCAUCGACGCUUGGGGUCGACGUUACGUCGAGCUUAAUCGUGGGAACCUCCGUCAGAAGGACUGGCAGGAUGUCGCCGACGCCUUUAAUGCUCUUCACGGUCAUAAUAAGAAGACCCAUCGUACCGAUGUUCAGUGUAAGAACCGGAUUGAUACCAUCAAGAAGAAGUAUAAGAUCGAGAAGACUACGGUUUCGGCUUCUAACGGAACCCUAACGUCGUCGUGGCCAUUCUUCGAACGAUUGGAUUCUCUCAUCGGAUCCAAUUUUGCAGCUAAAAAGGUAUCACUGUCGCCUAAGAUGUCACCGAAGCCGUCGCCGAGGAUCCCCGGGUCUCCUCCUGUGGCUCUUCCGCUUCCGUUACCGUACAGGAAAACUCCGGCGCCGGUCACGGCCACGGUUGUCGCACUCCCGCAGAAGAGGCCGGCUGUCGACGAUGGGUAUUUCAAGAGAAAUUUUACGGCCGUGGCUGCUGCUGCAGCGGCUUCUGCUGUAGAGAGUGACGAGGAAGAGGGAGAGGAAAGUGAAGGUGAAGGGGAGGAAAGGGAAGGGAUGAAGAGAUUGGCAAGAGCGAUAGAAAGGUUUGGUCAAGUGUAUGAAAGGGUGGAAGGAGAGAAGCUGAGGCAGAUGGUGGAACUGGAGAAGAAAAGAAUGCAGUUUGCUAAAGAUUUGGAGGUGCAGAGGAUGAGGAUGUUUAUGGAUACGAAGGUGCAGCUCGAGAAGAUCAAGCGUGUUAAACGUUCCUCAGGUUCCAGUGAUAUUUACAGCUAGCCAGUCUGGGGAAGAGUUUUGACAGAUAUUUCCAUGAAGAAUAUAAUAUUUCACCAUUUACACUCAUCCCUUGAAAGUAUAUAUAGAUAUAUAUAGUUAUUCUGGUAGAUACUGGACUCAGAACUCAGAAGAUAACCAGCAGUUGGCAGAUAACAUUGCCUGAAGCUUCAAAGUUCCUUUCUUUUGCCUUUUGCCUUUUGCCCUUCAUUUGGGGGUUACAAAAACUGAAGUUGUAAUUUAAUUUGGACCUACACAUUUUGGUCCUAUGUAUUUUGUUUUAGUUAACUUUUUGUCUUUUUUUUUGUAAGUCUGUUUGCUGAAAUGGACAAGAUUAGGUUGUAUUCUGAAACACUUGUGGUAACUAUCCCCCGCCAAAAGCUUUGAUU